UGGAACUCUAAGAACAGAGCACUUCAGAUUUUCAUGGUUGAUUUUUAUUACCUGUUGGCUGGAAAAUAAAAGACCAUUGCAGUACCUGAUUUCAACAACUUCAUGGCUUUUAAAUUUCACUGCCAUUAGAAUGCCUUGUUCGAAAACACGUGAGUUAUUAUUAGAAAAUUUACUUGCAUAUUAGUACAGAUUUUUAAUUUAAAACUUUGUGCAAACCAAACUACAAUAUAACUUCCUAUACAAAAAUAUAACUAAUGGAUAUAUUUUCAUUGCAUAGAUCCAACAAUGUUGUGCUAACUUCCCCGUUUUUCUAUAUGGAUGCGUACACUACAAGAGAAGCCACUCCCAAGAUAAAAAAAAUCAUCACAACUGGUACUCUAGCGUUGGUAAUCAUCUGCCUUGACCAAUCCUCUACUUUAGAGAAUCUGCACAAAUCCAUCUAACUUCGAGCAUGAUGGAAAACCAAUAGAACAAAAUUAACAGCCGCUAUCCACCGGGGGUUGGAAACUUAAGAAUUCCCCAAAUGCGCUAGUAAUAACCUGUCCAAUAGCCAUCUGAGAUUCAAGACUAAAACAUUCCCAAAAUCAAAAUGCCAGAAUCAGUCUCCAAGAUUUACCCAAAACAAUUGACUACAACCAGCAUGAACGCCACCUGCACAAAUAAGGAUUGGUGAGAUAUUAGAACACUGUAAUCAUUGCAUUGAAGAGGGGUUGUGCAGGAAAGAAAUAGAGGGUGACCAAGCCAAGAACCAUGCUGCUAAAGGUUCUGUUGCCUGAGUACUAAGGGUGACGGGAGAGUGCAAGGUGAGGUAGCUUAUAUGCACAGAUGCUUGUACUAAAGAAAACAGAAAGUCACACCUACUGCCUUAAGCGUCACCAGCAAGUGGCAUACAUCAUCCACCAUGAGUCAACCAGAAACUGAAGAUUGAUUACUUCCUUCAAACCACAGCGGAUCGAUUUCGUCCGUUGAAUAGACAAACAGCCGCUCCGGUUCGUAUCAACCAUCU
rnacentral:lncRNA from 1 species